rnacentral:other from 1 species
ACCACCCUGGGGUGUUUGCCAGUCAAUCAGUCCUUGAGCCGAUACUCUUUACCCCGGAGGCCUCCAGUACUCGCUGUUGAGCAUACCCGCGUGACGGGAAGCCUGAUGCGUUGCGGGGGUCUCCACCUUGAACCGUUGGGUUCAAGGCCAACUUGACAGCGGCACUUCCGGGGCUUCA